UUUAUUUUUCUUGAGUAACAUGACUGUUAUCUCCAAAGAGUACCUUUCGUCGUCAGUAUAGCAAAAGACGAAAAUUGUUUGAUAUUCUGCAUACUUUGCGUUGUGUCAAAACCAACAUGAUACAGUAGAAAAAUAAUAUGUAAUGCGGGAAUUAUUCUUUCUUAUACUAUGUCUAUAUAUAUAUGCUAACGUCAGACGCGAAAGCAUACAUGAGGUUGAGUGCGCGACGAGUUCUCGUUUCUGUGUGCCGCGUCUCCGCUUUUCUACAGAAUCUCGGCGUGUGAUGUCGGUGGGAUUUGUGUGUCACACGCCGUACACGUAGCAGCGUGUGCCAGUUGCUGCGCUCACAUCGGCCUUGACGUUUCGCCGCGGUCGCACGGCGAACUCGUGGACUCUCCUCUGCUGUAUUUCUCACGAACGCACGUUUCGACCCAUUUUUUUUUUGUAUCCCACGAUCCCAAACAAACGUGCCUCUCGCGAUCCGCAAUGGCGGAAACGAACGGGGCUGCGAAUUUAAAUACGAAAAACGGCAAUUUUAUCUGCGGUGUGGUGGAAGGCUUUUACGGUCGUCCAUGGACCACGGAGCAACGGAAGGAUCUCUUUCAAAAAUUAAAGAAAUGGGGAAUGGAUUCCUACUUGUAUGCUCCAAAAGACGAUUACAAACAUCGAGCUUAUUGGAGAGAUCUGUAUACGGUAGAGGAAGCUGAGCAUCUGACUGGCUUGAUCACUGCUGCCAGGGAAUAUGGAAUAACGUUUUAUUAUGCGUUAUCUCCUGGAUUGGAUAUUACAUAUUCUAGUUCAAAGGAAGUCACAGCUUUGAAAAGAAAGCUGGAACAAGUCAGCCAGUUUGGUUGUACAGCGUUUGCAUUAUUAUUCGACGACAUAGAGCCAGAAAUGAGCGAAGCUGAUAAAGAAGUAUUUCAAUCGUUUGCACAUGCUCAAGUCUCUGUCACAAACGAUAUUUUUCAACAUCUGGGUCAGCCUCGUUUUCUUCUAUGCCCCACGCAAUAUUGCGCUACGCGCGCAAUGCCGAAUGUCGCGUCCUCGGAAUAUCUCAACACACUCGGCAGCAAAUUAGCUCAGGAAAUUGACAUUAUGUGGACCGGACCUAAAGUCAUAUCCAGACUUUUAACUGUGGAGUCUAUUGAGGAGAUCACAGAAGUGCUCCGAAGGCCACCCGUUAUCUGGGAUAAUUUACAUGCUAAUGAUUACGAUCAAAAGAGAGUGUUUCUCGGACCAUACUCCGGUCGCUCUCCCGAUCUCAUACCUAAACUUAGAGGAGUCUUGACUAAUCCUAAUUGCGAAUAUGGAGCGAACUUCAUAGCAAUUCAUACAUUGGCGCAAUGGAGCAGGUGCAAUGUCGACGGGAAGAGAGACCUAAGUUUAAACGACACUGUAUCAGCGGACAUUAAACUAGAGACUGAAACGGAGGAUGGCGUACUCGGUGAGGACGUUCCGUCGACGUUAUCGCCGAACAUGUAUCAUCCACGACACGCUCUGAAAAACGCGAUAAGCGAGUGGCUGCUGGAGUUCAACAAGAAGAAGGCGGCCUGGGGAGUAAUAGCCAAACCGCAGCCAUGCGUCGCAUCGACGAUACCUAUUCCAAUAAUUCCUUCUGUCAAUACGUGCAUGAGCCUGACGUCCACGACAACGACGACGGUCCCUGCAGCGCCUACGCCUGUGGCGAAUUCCAAUCAUCUUCAAGCGUUAGCCGAAGUUUGCUCAACCGUGACGAGCAGCGACAGUUUCGCCCAGCCUUCAUCCGGUCCGGUGAUGAAUUCCUUGGUGUCGGACAUAAAGGUAAUCAGCGAGCCUGUGUUGACUACAUUAUCAACCAAUAUGAGCGGCGAGCCGGCGUCGACGACCCUCUCCUCAAUGGAGCCUAUGGACUGCAACACCACUCCGAACAAUUCGCCGGCGCACAUAGCGAAAAUCCCGACGGAAGACGACGCUAUGGUAGAUAAUACUUCUACGUGUAGCGAAGCGUCCGGGAGUAUGCAGGUGGAAGUGGACAGCACUUCUCCCACAGUGAACGGCACGCAGAUGAUAAUAGAGAACGACAGUGAGAAUCACGAGAGUUCGGAUAACGCGGACCCGGUGCCCCAAGAGUCCGUAGACGUCGAAAAACAGCUUACGCACGAGGAUCUGUCGUUGCUCUGCGAUCUGUUCUAUUUGCCGUUCGAACAUGGCGGUCAAGGAGUCCAGCUGUUGCAAGAAUUCAAUUGGUUGAAGAGUAACGCUUACGUCGUUAUGAAAAAAUCUAAAGAGGAGGAGUCUGCGUCUGAGUCGGACAUCGAAGAGUGGCACCUACGUGCAGCUAAAUUAAACGACAUGUGUAAUGCGGUAAAUAGAUUGUUUCAAAGGCUCACGUACUGUAAUAACCGCGAGUUAUUGUACGAUUUGUACUCGUACGUAUGGGAUAUGAGAGGAGUUGUGUCGCUCUUAAAUAGUUACGUGAAAUGGCUGGCGUUUGGCAGAUUCCCGUCGACGAUGACGACCUUUACCCAGGGCAGCUACACAUGGUUCUCGAAUGGUUGGAAAGAAACGUUUAUGAGUGGAGAACAAGAACCGUGGGUUUUCCGUGGUGGACUUACAGCUGAUUUACAGCGAUUGAUUCCAGUGGACAGUGGCAACGACUUGUUCGUUUAUAAAGCACCAGAAGUACCCAGUAGCAAAAUAUAUACAAUUCGCCCGUAUAUAUCGAGCGACGAAGAAGCCGUUUACACGGUGUGCAAUCAGAUUAAUAAUUGCACAUCUUCAUCAGCUGUGGCUGACAGACUCGUCGGAGGUUUCUUAACGCUGAGUCCGGAGUUGUGCAUGGUUGUUGAGGAUGAAAACGGUAUAGUGGGUUACGCAGUAGGUACGCUAAAUGUGAAGUCGUAUAAUCAGAAGAUUGCAGUUUCCUGGAUCCCUGAAUUACGAAUGAAGUACCCGCUAGAUAAUAACGUCAGCGAGCUGCCGCAGAACGUACAGGAUGCCAUACAGUAUUUCCAUUCGUUUAUUCCGGACGUGCCGGAACAUUUGUGCAGGCAACAUCCGUCGAAGCUGAUUUGCGCUGUGCUACCGAGUGUCACAGAUCAAUCAAUUUGUAAACGUUUAAUAACCUGUGUCCUCGCGGCUCUAAGAGCAAACGGCUCCUUUGGAGUACACACGACAAUGUCCUUAACGGAUAAGGAAUCCCACGAGUUCUACGGCAAGUUAGGUUUUGUCGAUUUGAAUCCGGUGCACGAGGAACAUCCCGGAGUUAAAACUAUGUGUAGAAGUUUCUAACAAAGAAUUAGUGCUCCGGUAAUCUUUGUCAACAAGGUGUUUUUGCUUGGACCAUCUGCUAAAAAGACAGUGAUUCCUUGAAAGAAGUAUGCAUGAUUUUUAGAACGCAAGUCUUUAACAUGCAAACAUGUCAAGUAUGCCAACACAAUAGGUUACAAAGUUUAUGAUCACAAACUUACUUUCAUCGCGAGAGUGAAUUCUGAUAGGAUAUCGGUAGUAUCAUUUAUAAUAUAUUCGAUAUAUAACCUUUCUCACAGUAUCGAAACCUUUAGAAUCUUUAGACAUAUUUGAUACGAGCAUAUACAUAUGUACAUACAGCUAACUGAUAUUAAAUUUUAUUAUUAUAUAGUAAUAUUUCUACGUCAUUAGGAAAGAGACUAUUAAGCAUACAUAUGUAUAGUGCAAUAACCAGAUUCAUUAAUAGUAUGAUACGUUUCUGCUUUUUCUUCUUUCUUUUUGAAAAACGCGUCAUAUUUAUCUUAUAUUGGCAACACUAUGACACUUUAAUAUCUUUCAGCGGUUCGAAUCAUGUUAGAAUCCUUUUUAAAUGUUUGUACAUAAAAUUCCGAACGGUGUGCGGCGAAAUGCCGGUAUGUGUGUUCAUUAAUGAGUCAUCUAAACUUUCCAAUUCAUUAAGAACUAUUUUCUUAUCGAAAUCAUACACAUAAGGAUGACUGAAUAAAAUUUUGAAGCACACUCUCUCUUUAGAUGCUCUUAUAGUUACAUCAUACAAUGGAUUUAAAGAUAUGAUAUAUGCAUAAGUUUUAAGUGUGUAGUUUAAUCUGAUAUGCAUAAUCAGAGAUGAAUAUAUCCCAUAAUAGUAUUUUGCUGCUCAGUGACAAACAUGUGACAACAUAUGUUGAAUUUUUUAACAGCAAGGCCUUUUAAAAAAAGAAGUUUCAUACAUAAUUUUGCAUUUUAUAGCUUUCAUCACGAAUUCCCUUUAUUAUUGAUCGGCUCUAAAUCAGCAACACAUGUAUGUAUGUCGCGCUACGAUAUGUGAUAUAUAAGACACCUAAUUAAAAAAAAAAAAAAAAUGUCAUCAUUCUUUCGUAACCCAAUAUUAUUAAUAUUGAACACGAGCAAGACGUAUCUUAGAUAUUCCCUCCUAUUGUAUACUAAUCAUGCGACAUUAUAAACUUUGUAUAAGGUUACUUUAAUUCUCUACCGAGUUAUUAAUAUGUUAAUUGUUAUCUAUACAAGUUAAAUGCAUUAGUGUACGAAAUGUACAGAAUUAACAUAAAUGGUAAUUGUUAGGGCCAUAAAAGAAAUAAUUAUAAAAAGAUCUUAAGUUAUUUGUCUUAUAUUUACUACUAAUGGUUAUAUCUAUUGUCAGCCUUAUAUCUGGUACCGGUUACAGUAAUUCGUUAUACCGUUCGAGAUAGUUUUCCAACAAUUUUUAUUAUUAUAUAGUACGUACCUUCACUUUUUAUCACAAGGUUUGAUUGAGUGCCAUGUACAAAAAAAAGGAAAGAAAAAAAUAUUCGAGGUUAUCGCGAACAAAUAGACUUACAUGCUAGACUCUAUUUCUAUAUUUUGAUGGCAGUUAUUGCUUUUAAGAUUUUUAUACCGAGUAUAGCGAUGACAGAGUUAAAAAAUUAAAUACAUUGGUGAGGAUAUUGGAAAGAACGUGCGAAUUUUUUUUUAUUGUCACGAAUUUUUUUUUUUUAAUUGUCAUCACGAAUUUUUUUUUUAGAUACUUUU